rnacentral:misc_RNA from 1 species
UAUCUUAGCUCGUUGGUGUGUACUGGUGUGUGACGUCACCUUGUGGCACAACUUGGAUUUCCAAAUGAUGCUGUCCUCAGAAAGAAAUGGAUUGUGGCACUGCGCAGGGAUGGUUUCAAUCCGUCUAAAGUAACUAAAAUCUGUUCAAACCAUUUUACAUCAGAUUGCUUCCGUAAUAGUGGAUGGAGUUCUCUCCGAAUUUUAAAUGAAGAUGCUGUCCCUACAAUCUUCGACUUUUCUGAUCAUUCAAAAUCUGGCAAAAGAGGGAAGCGCCUAAAAAGAUUGAAUGUGCAAUGUUGUGUUCUUGGAUGCGAGGCGGUCAAGACAGACAUUGACCACGGUUCUGGCUUACGCUUCUUCGCAUUUCCAGAGGAGAGAACUGUGAAAAAUCGUUGGAUUGAAGCCAUCCAAAGAAAGGACUUCGACCCUAAUGUGCACAAAGCUGUUUGCAGUCAGCACUUUGUUGAAAGUGAUUAUGUUAUCCAACAAGGCUCAGACGAAAAAAGAUUAAAAGUGAGAGCUGUUCCAUCCAUUUUCCCCUUACAACGCCAACCAAGAAUGGGAGGAGCAGAAGACGAUGUAUUUAAUAUUAUUUACGACAUGAAUCCAGCAGAUUAUGAUACUUCCGAUCAGGACCAAGAUUUUGAAGUACCUGAGAUAAUAAGUGAUGACUGUAUUAUUUCUCAAGCAUCAGAGACAAUAAGUGAGGACUAUAGUAUGUGUCAAGCACCAGAGACAAGAAGUCAAGACAAUAUUCAACUAUCAAAAAAUCAGUUCAAAUUAGUCGGAAAGACCAGAGACCAGGGGACUCAAACUUCUUGCAAGGAUUCGGCUAAAUUAAAAUUAUAUCGUUGUAAAGUGAAAUCAUUGCUUCAAAGUGUACGGAGAAAAGAUAGAAGGAUUAAACAAAUGGAAGAAGAGAUUGCUCUUAUGAAAGAGAAGAUCAAAUCCUUCAAACUCAGUAAUUUGAAAUUGCAGGCAUUAAAUAAUAUGGAGUAACAAAUAUUUUUGGAGCUCUCCAGAUUACAUUCUAAUAAAAAGCCUUGCUCGUUCAAGUAAUCUACAUUAUAUUUCCUGAAAAAAUAUCACAAUCGAUAUUUUUAUUCUGUGAUGGACAAUCGACAAAUAAUUUGUUUUCGAAGGAAAAUAGAUUAGUGCUACUUUCAAUUGUAAAACAACGUUUUUUAAUACUCCCAAACUCAUUUUUAUUCAUAAUUCCCAAGAUGCCAAAUUCACAGAGUUUGGAAGUAUUUAUGAUCUCAAAAUUAGUGAAACCUAUAUUUUUACGUAAA